CUGUCGCACAGACUGCUGCAGCGCAAAACAACAUUACUGGGCACGGUGAAUAAAGUCCGGCGUGAACUUCCUCAACUUGCAAAAGAUACUGCAAAGCGAGAGUUCCAUGCACCAAGACGUGACGAUCGGUGACGGCAGAAAGAGGAAACCCAACACGAUAACAGACUAUAACCACAUGAAGUGUGGUGUAGACGUGUUGGACCAAAUGGCACGGAUGUAUUCCGUAAGAUCAGCAACACGCAGGUGGCCAGUAGCGGUUUUCUACAAUAUGCUGGACCUGGCGGCAGUGAAUGCCUACACGAUUGUUUCUGAGUCUUCUAGCUCAGCAACUUCGUUGCCGAUUUAUGCAGCACAAGGAAAUAUUAGCACAGAGGCAGGC